rnacentral:rRNA from 1 species
CCUACGGGAGGCAGCAGUGAGGAAUAUUGGUCAAUGGGCGCAAGCCUGAACCAGCCAAGUCGCGUGAGGGAUGACGGUCCUAUGGAUUGUAAACCUCUUUUGUCGGGGAGCAAGGCCCGCCACGUGUGGCGGGAAGGAGAGUACCCGAAGAAAAAGCAUCGGCUAACUCCGUGCCAGCAGCCGCGGUAAUACGGAGGAUGCGAGCGUUAGCCGGAUUUAUUGGGUUUAAAGGGUGCGUAGGCGGAAGGUUAAGUCAGCGGUAAAAUGUCGGUGCUCAACACCGGCCUGCCGUUGAAACUGGUCUUCUUGAGUGAGCGAGAAGUAUGCGGAAUGCGUGGUGUAGCGGUGAAAUGCAUAGAUAUCACGCAGAACUCCGAUUGCGAAGGCAGCAUACCGGCGCUCAACUGACGCUGAGGCACGAAAGCGUGGGGAUCGAACAGGAUUAGAUAUCCUUGUAGUC